rfam:Schistosoma rodhaini strain Burundi genome assembly, scaffold: SROB_scaffold0017137
AUCGGUAACGAUUCAACGUCGAAAACACUGUUCCUUGCCAGGUCAAUGAAGUUAGGCGAUGUUUGGUCCGGUAUGCACUUGCUCAGGUGACCUCCUGGGGGCACCGGGUGUUACCGGCU